AUCCAGCUAUAGAGUUCUACAUAAGACGAAACGCACGUCCUAGAU
rnacentral:hammerhead_ribozyme from 1 species